rnacentral:misc_RNA from 1 species
UAGAGUUUUCAAAACUCCCAAACCCAUGUGAACUUACCUUCAGUUGCCUCGGUGGGAGCCUACCCUGUACCUACCCUGUAACGGGGUUACCCGGGAGCGGCACCACCGGUGGAAUCUUAACUCUUGUUAUAUAACUGUUUCUCUGAGCGUAUUAUUUUAAAUAAGUUA